rnacentral:tRNA from 1 species
GCUGGUAUAGCUCAGUUGGUAGAGCAACGCAUUCGUAAUGCGUAGGUCGUGGGUUCGAGUCCCAUUCCCAGCUCCA